UUGCGUUCUCUCUUGCAGCCUGCCUGCAGCAUCGGACCUGUGAUGCCUGCGUGUCCUCGGACCUGACCUUCAACUGCAGCUGGUGCCACGUCCUCCAGAGGUGCUCCAGUGGUUUUGACCGCUACCGCCAGGAGUGGCUGGCCUACGGCUGUGCCCAGGAGGCGGAGGGCAGGACGUGUGAGGACUUCCAGGACGAGGGCCACUACUCGUCCUCCCCCAACGGCUCCUUCAGCCCCUUGGACGGGGACCUCACCACCACCUCCUCCUCCCUCUUCAUCGACAGCCUCACCACCGAAGGUAAGGCCUGAGCCCCAGCGGCGAAAGAAGCCAUGGGAAAGGACUACCACCCUGGGAUGGGACAUCACAGUUAUUCCUGUCAGGGAUUAGCUCAGGGAAUAGGAAUCGCCUUGACUUUCACAGAUGAGGGACCUAAGUCUCAGAGAGCUGGGCUCGCGUGCUGGGCAAAGGCAGAGCCAGGUUUCAAACAAGCGGACUCCGUGCCCGGACUCCAACUGCUGUCCUGGCCCACAUCGGGACUGUGGGAUGGAAGUCACUGCGGCGAGGGGAAAAUUAUCGUCCCGGCUCAGGGCCGGGUAUUUUAUAUAUAGUCCACCUCAGUUCAUCUCAGUAGCACUCCUCACAGAAAGCGUGAGGUCUUAUCAGCCCCGCAGCAGGUGCGAACUCAGUCCACGCACUCAGACGUGAGAGAAAGAUGGCCUCAUUUUUCUACCGUGGUGUUUCUGGCUCUGAACCCUUGCUCGGGGGGAGUGGUGGGUCUCCGCUGUUCUGGGGCUUGGCUUCCUGCUCCUGUGACCUUGUGUGGACAGAGGGAGGGUCAGAGUGGGGGCAGCCGUGUGCCAGAGGAUGGCUGGUGAUCCGUGCCUGCCUCUUCAGGGUCUGGCUGUCCCCGGGGACUUCCGCCAUCCUAAGGCCUGAGGGUCUUGCACCUGCCAGAGGUACCACACAGCAUCCGGAGAAGCCUUGUGCAAGCCCCUCCGGGAUCCUUUGGCUCCCACUGAAAAAUUCCUGUCCCAUCUUUUUUCGGUACAUCACAUCUAGGCUUUAGCCCUUUUUCCUUAGGCUCAGAGUGAACGAUGUGGGCUCUUACCACCUCCACGGAGCCACAUAAAGAGACAAAUGGAAAAGGGGAAAGGAGAAAAGAAAAAGCCAAAUGUUUGAAAGCAUUAUUCAGCCACAGUCCCAUUUUGUGUGUGUGGAAAAGGGCCCGUAGGGGGCAAAGUCGGUUACUCGGGGUUGCGUGAAAGGUAAGUGGCAGACCGGUCUUUCCCUGGUGCACCCUGCCUUUGUAACUGCAGCCUAGUGAACUGGAGAGCCAGAUCCCAUGGACCCGGCCAGAGGGAACCCUAGAGGAAAGGGGAGAAAUGACAGGUGGUCUAACAUUUUGAGGGGCCUAACCAUGGGCCAGGUAGGGUGCUAACGCUGUGCAGACAUUAACACUCACUUGGUCCUCCUAACAAUCCUGCGCGUUAAUGAUGUCAGAUCCCCAUGUUGUAGAAGAAACACGAAGGUUCACGGAGGUCAGUGACUUGCCCAGGGUCACACGACCAGGAAGAGGUGGUCAGGUCUCAUUCGGCUCAAAAGCAGCAAUCUUGUCCCUUGACUGCUUUCCUUGGUGCUGGAAAAGAAUUUUUUUUUUUUCAACGUUUAUUUAUUUUUGGGACAGAGAGAGACAGAGCAUGAACGGGCGAGG